GGGUCGGUAGCUCAGGUUGGUUAGAGCGCACGCCUGAUAAGCGUGAGGUCGGAGGUUCAAGUCCUCCUCGACCCA
rnacentral:tRNA from 3 species